CUACGGGAGGCAGCAGUGGGGAAUUUUCCGCAAUGGGCGAAAGCCUGACGGAGCAAUACCGCGUGAGGGAAGACGGCCCAUGGGUUGUAAACCUCUUUUUUCAGGGAGGAAUAAAUGACGUGUACCUGAAGAAUAAGCAUCGGCUAACUCCGUGCCAGCAGCCGCGGUAAGACGGAGGAUGCAAGUGUUAUCCGGAAUCACUGGGCGUAAAGCGUCUGUAGGUGGUUAAACAAGUCAACUGUUAAAUCUUGAGGCUUAACUUCAAAAUCGCAGUCGAAACUGUUUGACUAGAGUAUAGUAGGGGUAAAGGGAAUUUCCAGUGGAGCGGUGAAAUGCGUAGAUAUUGGAAAGAACACCGAUGGCGAAGGCACUUUACUGGGCUAUUACUGACACUCAGAGACGAAAGCUAGGGUAGCAAAUGGGAUUAGAUACCCCAGUAGUCCUAGCCGUAAACAAUGGAUACUAGAUGUUGAACAGAUCGACCUGUGCAGUAUCAAAGCUAACGCGUUAAGUAUCCCGCCUGGGAAGUAUGCUCGCAAGGGUGAAACUCAAAG
rnacentral:rRNA from 1 species